CCAUGCAAGUCGAACGGUAGCACAGAGAGCUUGCUCUCGGGUGACGAGUGGCGGACGGCUGAGUAAUGUCUGGGAAACUGCCUGAUGGAGGGGGAUAACUACUGGAAACGGUAGCUAAUACCGCAUAACGUCGCAAGACCAAAGAGGGGGACCUUCGGGCCUCUUGCCAUCAGAUGUGCCCAGAUGGGAUUAGCUAGUAGGUGGGGUAACGGCUCACCUAGGCGACGAUCCCUAGCUGGUCUGAGAGGAUGACCAGCCACACUGGAACUGAGACACGGUCCAGACUCCUACGGGAGGCAGCAGUGGGGAAUAUUGCACAAUGGGCGCAAGCCUGAUGCAGCCAUGCCGCGUGUAUGAAGAAGGCCUUCGGGUUGUAAAGUACUUUCAGCGGGGAGGAAGGUGUUGUGGUUAAUAACCACAGCUU
rnacentral:rRNA from 1 species